AGGGGUUAAGGGAGAAGUUUCUGCAUGCACUAGUGUCCCUAGUAAUGUAAAAAAACAGAUGGCGGCAAUUCUUAAUGCUAACAAAGGUAAAAAAAUUGCCAAACAUAGGAUGAAUGAGGAGAUAGCUAGUUUAUAUACACCAUCAAGCAGGAAUGAUACAGAAGAGCAAUAUAAUAAUGAUCUAGAAGAGCAAUAUAAUAAUGAGCUAGACAUGGCCACAUGAGUUUACAUGAACAAUAUCAGAAGGAACGUGGGUUUAGAAUGCUCGGUGGGUUUAGCUCAGACAUG
rnacentral:lncRNA from 1 species